GCAGGAAACUGAAAAGAAGCAAACUGAAAUGCAGGAAACUGAAAAGAAGCAAACUGAAAUGCAGUCGCUGAUGGAGACUCAUCAUUCAACAACUCCACAGUCUUCAUGCUGAUUUGACAGACGGAGGCAGAGAGAGAGACACUAUAGAAAUCAGAGAAUGAUGGGACGCGUGAAGAGAUCAGUAACACAGCACUUUAUUACACAAAUGUUCUCCCUUUCAUAUGAAACCUUUAUUGCGAUCAAAGCUUACAGUCCAGUCUGUACUGUUCUGAUGUUAAUCAUGCUGCACUGAACAGCUUUUUAUUUUGAAACUGUUUUAUUUCAGUUCAAUUAGGGUUUGAAGCUUUAUAUUUGAAUUAGGGCUUGAUAGGUUGCCAUGGUUACAGAGCACAACAUCUAAAAGUCAGUCAUCAGACUCAUCCCAAAGCUAAAAAUGCAGCCACAUUUCUCAGCUGUCUUGAUUGUGUGA